rnacentral:rRNA from 1 species
GUCGAGGAUUUUUCUCAAUGGGGGAAACCCUGAAGGAGCGACGCCGCGUGGGGGAUGAAGGUCUUCGGAUUGUAAACCCCUGUCAUCCGGGAUCAAUGCUUACGGUCUAACAAACCGUGAGUUGAUAGUACCGGAAGAGGAAGCAGUGGCUAACUCUGUGCCAGCAGCCGCGGUAAUACAGAGACUGCAAGCGUUGUUCGGAUUCAUUGGGCGUAAAGGGUCCGCAGGCGGUCGGGUAAGUCGGAUGUGAAAGCUCGUGGCCUAACCACGAAAUGUCAUUCGAAACUGCCCGGCUCGAGGGCUGGAGAGGAGACUAGAAUUGCUGGUGUAGCGGUGAAAUGCGUAGAGAUCAGCAAGAAUACCAGUGGCGAAGGCGGGUCUCUGGACAGUUCCUGACGCUCAUGGACGAAAGCCAGGGGAGCAAACGGGAUUAGAUACCCUAGUAGUCC